rnacentral:piRNA from 1 species
AUUCUGUGACUAUUCAUGAUGGU